rnacentral:rRNA from 1 species
UACAGAGGUCCCAAGCGUUGUUCGGAUUCACUGGGCGUAAAGGGUGCGUAGGUGGUUAGGUAAGUCCGAUGUGAAAUCUCCAGGCUCAACCUGGAAAUGGCAUUGGAUACUAUUUAGCUUGAGGAGUGGAGGGGGGACUGGAAUUCCUGGUGUAGCGGUGAAAUGCGCAGAUAUCAGGAGGAACACCGGUGGCGAAGGCGGGUCUCUGGGCCGAUACUGACACUGAGGAGCGAAAGCGUGGGGAGCGAACAGG